rnacentral:rRNA from 1 species
CGGAGGGUUAGCGUUGUUCGGAAUGACUGGGCGUAAAAGCGCGCGUAGGCGGGCUGGAAAAUUGGGGUGGAAAUCCCGGGGCGUCAACCCCGGAAUGGCCUUCAAAACUCCCAGCCUAGAGUUCGAGAGAGGUGAGUGGAAUUCCGAGUGUAGAGGUGAAAUUCGUAGAUAUUCCGGAGGAACACCAGUGGCGAAGGCGGCUCACUGGCUCGACACUGACGCUGAGGUGCGAAAGCGUGGGGAGCAAACAGGAUU